rnacentral:rRNA from 1 species
UACGGGGGGGAGCAAGCGUUGUUCGGAGUUUACUGGGCGUAAAGGGCGCGUAGGCGGUCAGCACAAGUCAGUUGUGAAAUCUCCGGGGCUUAACUCGGAAAGGUCAACUGAUACUGUGCGACUAGAGUGCAGAAGGGGCAACUGGAAUUCUCGGUGUAGCGGUGAAAUGCGUAGAUAUCGAGAGGAACACCUGCGGCGAAGGCGGCUCUCUGGGACGGUACUGACGCUGAGACGCGAAAGCGUGGGGAGCGAACAGG